GACGAACGCUGGCGGCGUGCCUAAUACAUGCAAGUAGAACGCUGAAGGAGGAGCUUGCUUCUCUGGAUGAGAUGCGAACGGGUGAGUAACGCGUAGGUAACCUGCCUGGUAGCGGGGGAUAACUAUUGGAAACGAUGGCUAAUACCGCAUAAGAGUAGGUGUCGCAUGACAUUUGCUUAAAAGGUGCAAUUGCAUCACUACCAGAUGGACCUGCGUUGUAUUAGCUAGUUGGUGAGGUAACGGCUCACCAAGGCAACGAUACAUAGCCGACCUGAGAGGGUGAUCGGCCACACUGGGACUGAGACACGGCCCAGACUCCUACGGGAGGCAGCAGUAGGGAAUCUUCGGCAAUGGACCGAAGUCUGACCGAGCAACGCCGCGUGAGUGAAGAAGGUUUUCGGAUCGUAAAGCUCUGUUGUAAGAGAAGAACGAGUGUGAGAGUGGAAAGUUCACACUGUGACGGUAUCUUACCAGAAAGGGAGGGCUAACUACGUG
rnacentral:rRNA from 1 species